UUUUCAUAAGUAGAUGGCUAUCUCGUUUCCCUAAAGGAGAACAGAUCAUGGUUUCUCUUCCCAAGGACACCCAUGCGCCUGUGUGCAGGAAGGAAACAUCUGUGGAGAGGUGAGUGAAUAACCAAUGCGAGGAUGCACUGAGAUACACACUAGGACUGAUGCUAUGAUGGAGUGGAAGCAGGAG
rnacentral:lncRNA from 1 species